UAUAUUCCUAAGUUUUGGUACUAAUUCUUCCCUAGUUAGUUAUUACCACUUGAUCUCUCUGGGUGUCUGCUGACUGCACUAUAUGUUGAUUUGUAGCUCUCUGGACUUUCCAUUUUUAAGCAAUGCAUUAGUAUCUCUCUGAUUUUAGUUCCAAAGUGGUCAUUCAUUAUAUCUGCUGUGUACAUGUGUUAAGUUACCAAUCUCUAGUGUUAUGCUGCUUUUUUUUUCUUUCGGAAAAAGAUAAGGAGUCUUCAUUAAUCAGAUACAUAUAUCGCAAAGGAGUCUGAAUUUGGGGGCGAGGUCAAGGACAAAACUUUCUUUUGUUGCCUUCCGAGUCCAGUACAACCAGUGAAAAGCUAGCAGUUAACCAACACACAAAUGAAGUUCAAUUUCAUCCAAGGUCAUGUUCAGCUAGCAGAAACUGUGUUUGGCACACAUCGGAGGUCAUGUACUGCAUAUGUUCAAAUUACAGAACAAGCAAGGAGUAUCAUCCAAUUGGAUGAUCCGAUGACAGUUUCAAUUUCAGUAACUGAAACUGAAAUUGAUGAUCUGCACCACCAAAAUGCUGGAGCCAAGAGGCUGGUCGCGCGCCAGCAGCUCAGGCGUUAAUGCUCACCGUGGACGCAGCACUCACCGCGGUAGCGGCAGCGUGGCAAGCGGUCGAUCGGGCGUCCAUGGCGUCUCGGUGAGCUCGUAGUGACAUGGUAGUGUUGCUAGUGGCAAGACGGAUUGCUGCUUUCACAGGAAGAUCUUGUUUGUUCUGUGUUGGGUUGUUUGGCGAUGCAUUGUUCAGAUGUAGUCUUCCUAACGUUAUCAAUGUAGACCGUGCUAUCAUUAUUUGGAGAAACUUGUAUCCUCUAUUCACGCAUAGCCUGUUGGUCUGAUGACAAGUUCUUGGUUCUGGAUUACCGGAAGUCUCUAACUGAGCCAUAUGAACUACAGUGCUUUUCUUGAGUUUCU